rnacentral:rRNA from 1 species
UACGGAGGAUCCAAGCGUUAUCCGGAUUUAUUGGGUUUAAAGGGUGCGUAGGCGGCCUAUUAAGUCAGGGGUGAAAGACGGUAGCUUAACUAUCGCAGUGCCUUUGAUACUGAUGGGCUUGAAUGGACUAGAGGUAGGCGGAAUGUGACAAGUAGCGGUGAAAUGCAUAGAUAUGUCACAGAACACCAAUUGCGAAGGCAGCUUACUAUGGUUUUAUUGACGCUGAGGCACGAAAGCGUGGGGAUCAAACAGG